rnacentral:tRNA from 1 species
GGCUAUUAGCUCAGGUGGUUAGAGCGCACCCGUGAUAAGGGUGAGGUCCCUGGUUCAAGUCCAGGAUGGCCCACCUAAAAAAUGUGGGGGUAUAGCUCAGUUGGUAGAGCGCUGCCUUUGCAAGGCAGAUGUCAGCGGUUAGAGUCCGCUUACCUCCACUAAAAAUAUUCCUAGAACAAAUCAGCACUACAGCUUUCUGUGAAGAAAGAGUAAAUGCUGGAAAAAGUUCCAGCCAGAACCUUGAAAACUGCAUAGAAGAAUCAAAAGGGAUCAACAAUGAAACCAGAACCGGGAAUCAGAAACCCGGAAAAGUU